rnacentral:rRNA from 1 species
CUGUCUCAGACUAAGCCAUGCACGUCUAGUACAAACUAAAUGAUGGUGAAACUGCAAAUGGCUCAUUACAACGGUUAUGAUGUACCCGGGAGUUCCGAUGGAUAUUUCCAGUAACACUAGAGCUAAUACAUGUCCCUGCGUUUAUUAGUUUCGCACAGUCCGUCGCUGAGUCAUGGUAAACAGUUGAUCGACUCGACGUCCCGGAACAGUUUCCGCCCCAUCAGCUUCGAUGGUUGGGUAUUGGCCUACCAUUGCAACAACGGGUAACGAGGAAUUAGGGUUUGAUUUCGGAGAGGGAGCCUGAGAAACGGCUACCACAUCUACGGAUGGCAGCAGGCGCGCAAAUUACCCAAUGCAGACACUGUGAGGUAGUGACGAGAAAUAAUAAAGCGGGACUUCUGUUUCGCUAUUAUAAUGAGGAAUAACCAAAGGUCAUUCCGAUUAGCAACUGAUGGGAAAGUCUGGUGCCAGCAGCCGCGGUAAUACCAGCGUCAGUAGCA